rnacentral:rRNA from 1 species
CCUACGGGAGGCAGCAGUGGGGAAUAUUGGACAAUGGGGGAAACCCUUAUCCAGCGACGCCGCGUGAGGGAAGAAGGUUUUCGGAUUGUAAACCUCUGUCAGUGGGGACGAUAAUGACGGUACCCACGGAGGAAGCCACGGCUAACUACGUGCCAGCAGCCGCGGUAAUACGGAAGGUCCGGGCGUUAUCCGGAUUUAUGGGGUUUAAAGGGUGCGCAGGCGGAAUGUCAAGUCAGCGGUAAAAUUUCGGGGCUCAACCCCGUCGUGCCGUUGAAACUGGCGUUCUUGAGUGAGUGAGAAGUAUGCGGAAUGCGUGGUGUAGCGGUGAAAUGCAUAGAUAUUACGCAGAACUCCGAUAGCGAAGGCAGCAUACUGGCGCUCAACUGACGCUCAUGCACGAAAGCGUGGGUAGCGAACAGGAUUAGAUACCCCAGUAGUC